rnacentral:misc_RNA from 1 species
ACAAAUCCAAUAUGGGGGAGGGGUGACCUGACCCAAUAUUAAACCGCUAGCUCGAUCGUUAGGUUGGGCUAGUUGGAUAUAUAUGCGUGAAUGUAGACAGUGUGUGACCGAUAAAUUUAUUGA